rnacentral:misc_RNA from 1 species
UUUCCGUAGGUGAACCUGCGGAAGGAUCAUUAUUGUAUAACCUAGAUGCGAGGGCUGUACCUGACCCGACCGGUCGUGCACGCCUGCGUGCCCUCACACACAUCCAUCUCACCCCUAUGUGCACCACCGCGUGGGUCCCCCCUUGGCUUGUUCGGCGGGGUGCUGCCGUUUGCCUACAAUCUUUGUAUGCAGUGUAUCAUGUAUUUUUUGUUUUUGCGAUCACGCAAUCAAUACAACUUUCAACAACGGAUCUCUUGGCUCUG